GAUGAACGCUGGCGGCGUGCCUAAUACAUGCAAGUCGAGCGAACGGACGAGAAGCUUGCUUCUCUGAUGUUAGCGGCGGACGGGCGAGUCACACGUGGAUAACCUACCUAUAAGACUGGGAUAAUUUCGGGAAACCGGAGCUAAUACCGGAUAAUAUUUUGAACCGCAUGGUUCAAAAGUAAAAGACGGCCUUGCUGUCACUUAUAGAUGGAUCCGCGCUGCAUUAGCUAGUUGGUAAGGUCACGGCUUACCAAGGCAACGAUGCAUAGCCGACCUGAGAGGGUGGUCGGCGACAUUGGAACUGGAACACGGUCAAGAGUCCUACGGGAGGCAGCAGUAGGGAAUCGUCCGCAAUGGGCGGAAGCCUGACGGAGCAACGCCGCGUGAGUGAUGAAGAUCUUCGGAGCGUAAAACUCUGUUAUUAGGGAAGAACAUAUGUGGAAGUAACUGUGGACAUCUUGACGGUACCUAAUCAGAAAGCCACGGCUAACUACGUG
rnacentral:rRNA from 1 species